AACUAAUAAUAUUAUUAUCAUUUACCGAUUUUGGAUUUUUUAUUGUGUCUAUGACGAAAGUAGAUAUUUGGCUAAUUAUUUUCUCUUUGAAUGUCAUAAAUUCGUCACGGUAAGGGUUUGGUAGAAUUGAAGUGUGAGGACGAUCUAUUCUUUGCUUUGGCACCGGCAAAAUGGUAGGAGUCAAAGUUGGAGAAACUGGAGGAGAACUGUAUUUUCGUCGUUUCUUACUCUGUGUGGAAUCUUGUGCAUAUGAACUGGUUCGAUUAGUUUUAGGAUUAGAUAAUAAAUAACUGGAUUCAUUGUUUGUAGAAGUGGGAAGUUCAGGGAAGUUUUCUAAGUUAUUAAAUAUGGCGAAUCUAUUGUUGGUAGCUACCCUAACAACACACAACAUUCCAGGAAUGUACUACCAAAGUUCUAUCAAUAUUUGAAUGUCCUGGACAUUUAGGGAACAUUCGGUGAACAUCUGACUAAAUUAUUCCUGGAAUGUUACCAUAAGACAUUCUGUGAACAUACUACCAAUGUUCCUAUAUGUUCAUUUACAAAUUCACGGCGCAUGUAUUUGUGCAUGGUGCUUAGAGAGGGCAUCACGUGACUAAAAACGACCAAUGACCUCACUUCAGACUUCGGUGCUUCGGCCAUCUUGGCAUGCAUCUUGGCCUUGGCCACCUUGCCGUGACGCCGUGCGUGAUCGUUGUUUGUUUUUAUUUGUGCUUUUUAAGAAUAUUUUUUUAAUUCGGAUACUUUUAUAAUAACUUUAAUAGUAUUAUUAAUAUAGUGCAUAAAAUUAGUUGGGAGUAGCAGAAGCAAUGUAGAUAAAAAAUCUGCAGGAAUAAUGUUUCAAAGCUUUCCAGAAGAUCCUGCGAAGAAGGCAUGAAGUAUUGAUCAGAUUUGUUAAUAGAGCAGUAUGUUCAAAACAUUUUUUAGAAAAAGAUAUUGACAGAACUUCACUUUCAACUGUUCGUUUGAGAGACUGUGCUGUUCCAAUAGCUUAUAUCACACAGAAUCAGCUGAGAGAAGUGGUCUACAAAAAACCAGGAAGGAAAUGGAAUAUGUGGCUAUGAAAGGCAAAAGAAAGGUUUACAAAGCAAAUGUGACACAUUUUUUUAUAGGAAUAUCAGUAAAUUACAUUAAAAAAAUGUAUGAAAAGAUUUUUUGCAAUAAAAAUGUUUAUAUUUA